rnacentral:tRNA from 1 species
GCGCCCAUAGCUCAAUUGGAUAGAGUAACGGUCUACGAAACCGGGGGUUGCCCGUUCAAAUCGGGCUGGGCGCG